rnacentral:tRNA from 1 species
AGCUCAGCCGGUUGAGCAUGGUGCUGAUAACACCAAGGCCACGGGUUUGAUCCCCGCU